rnacentral:rRNA from 1 species
AUUAGUGGCAGACGGGUGAGUAAUGCAUAGGAAUCUACCUAGUAGUAUAGGAUAGCCACUAGAAAUGGUGGGUAAUACUGUAUAAUCCCUGCGGGGGAAAGAUUUAUCGCUACAUGAUGAGCCUAUGUUAGAUUAGCUAGUUGGUAGGGUAAAGGCCUACCAAGGCGAUGAUCUAUAGCUGGUCUGAGAGGAUGAUCAGCCACACUGGAACUGAGAUACGGUCCAGACUCCUACGGGAGGCAGCAGUGGGGAAUAUUGGACAAUGGGCGCAAGCCUGAUCCAGCUAUGCCGCGUGAGUGAGGAAGGCCUUAGGGUUGUAAAACUCUUUCAGUAGGGAAGAUAAUGACGGUACCUA